rfam:Oryza brachyantha chromosome 2, whole genome shotgun sequence.
AAUAACCUCAUUUUUAGUUUUUCCAUGUCCAACGUUUAACUUUCGUCUUAUUUGAAAAAUUUAUUAAAAAACUUAAAAAAUAUUCACGUAUAAAGUACUAUUUAUAUUUUAUCAUCUAGUAAUAAUAAAAAUAUUAAUCGCAAAAAAUUUCAAAUAAGACGAAUGGUCAAACGUUGAACACGGAAAAACGAAAAAUGAGGUUAUU